rnacentral:rRNA from 1 species
UAGGGAAUCUUCGGCAAUGGACGGAAGUCUGACCGAGCAACGCCGCGUGAGUGAAGAAAGGUUUUCGGAUCGUAAAGCUCUGUUGUAAGAGAAGAACGAGUGUGAGAGUGGAAAGUUCACACUGUGACGGUAUCUUACCAGAAAGGGACGGCUAACUACGUGCCAGCAGCCGCGGUAAUACGUAGGUCCCGAGCGUUGUCCGGAUUUAUUGGGCGUAAAGCGAGCGCAGGCGGUUAGAUAAGUCUGAAGUUAAAGGCUGUGGCUUAACCAUAGUACGCUUUGGAAACUGUUUAACUUGAGUGCAAGAGGGGAGAGUGGAAUUCCAUGUGUAGCGGUGAAAUGCGUAGAUAUAUGGAGGAACACCGGUGGCGAAAGCGGCUCUCUGGCUUGUAACUGACGCUGAGGCUCGAAAGCGUGGGGAGCAAACAGGAUUAGAUACCCUGGUAGUCCACGCCGUAAACGAUGAGUGCUAGGUGUUAGACCCUUUCCGGGGUUUAGUGCCGUAGCUAACGCAUUAAGCACUCCGCCUGGGGAGUACGAANANGCAAGGUUG